rnacentral:rRNA from 1 species
UACGGGGGGAGCAAGCGUUGUUCGGAUUUACUGGGCGUAAAGGGCGCGUAGGCGGCCACCGCAAGUCAAUUGUGAAAUCUCCGGGCUUAACUCCGGAAAGGUCAACUGAUACUGCGGGGCUAGAGUGCGGAAGGGGCAACUGGAAUUCUCGGUGUAGCGGUGAAAUGCGUAGAUAAUCGAGAGGAACACCGGUGGCGAAGGCGGAUCUCUGGGCCAUUACUGACGCUGAGGAGCGAAAGCGUGGGGAGCGAACAGGA